rnacentral:rRNA from 1 species
CCUACGGGAGGCUGCAGUGGGGAAUAUUUGGCAAUGGGCGCAAGCCUGACCCAGCAACGCCGCGUGAAGGAAGAAGGCUUUCGGGUUGUAAACUUCUUUUGUCAGGGACGAGUAGAAGACUGUACCUGACGAAUAAGCCACGGCUAACUCCGUGCCAGCAGCCGCGGUAAUACGUAGGUGGCAAGCGUUGUCCGGAUUUACUGGGUGUAAAGGGCGUGUAGCCGGGUUGACAAGUCAGAUGUGAAAUCCUGCGUCUUACCCGCAGAACUGCAUUUGAAACUGGUGAUCUUGCGUACUGGAGGGGCAGACGGAAUUCCUAGGGGAGCGGUGAAAUGCGUAGAUAUGAGGAGGAACACCAGUGGCGAAGGCGGCCUGCUGGACGACAAAGGACGGUGAGGCGCGAAAGCGUGGGGAGCAAACAGGAUUAGAUACCCGUGUAGUC